AUUUACUCUUAUAAGGGUUAAUAUUACUUAUAAAUUAUUUUACGCCGGUAGACUUUACAUUGAAGAAUCAAUUCAAUAUAUUUUGAUUGACCUGCACAAUGGUAUUAACAGGGAAAUUACGCGAUUGGAUUUAGGAUUUACUCUGUAAACAGGAUCUGCUACUAACCUAGCUCAAUUCCAAAGACUAACAAAUUCUUAUGAUAAGCGAUGAGAUCAUUUCCUCUGACAAAAUACAGUGCUCCUGUGUAAGCGUAAACGCGCUAUCAGCAAAAACAAUAAAAUGCGACUACGAGGCUGGCGACAUUAUAACCGCUUUAAAAAUAAGUGAGCUGAAUUGCACCUUUUCAACUACGAGUAACGAGUGCCUUUAUAAUACUGAAUUAGUGAAUUUAGACCGUGUCGGUAUAUCGUUCAUAGUGGUUGUGGUUCUCUGGUGCCGUUUGGUUACGGACGUAUAUGUAAGUAAAUAUUACCAUUUAAUUCCUUAAUUUUCAUGGCGCCUGUAUUUAAAUGUUGUACUUGUACGCGACAUUUUUCAACAAUCGAACUGUACAAUACACACCAGUAUCUGCACAGAAACAUAGUUAAUGUGCGAUAUUACUGCAAGUACGAAAAAUGUUACUUACAGUAUAGUAACUAUAAAAGCUUUAAGAUGCAUUUGUAUAGAACUCAUAUGAAAAAAAAGGUUAAAAUUCGCAAUGCCACUGUUAGCGACACGUACAUUUGCAAUGUAGAAAAUUGUAACUUCCCAGCUACUAGUAAUCAUAAUCAGUUUUUGUCACAUAUGUAUAACCAUAUUAAAAAUAAUAUUGAUAUAAAAUGCCCUUUUUCGAAUUGUGCUUACACAAAAAAAUUUUCUCGUGUUUCAAAUUUUAAAUCUCAUUUUUAUAGAAACCAUUACAAUGCCACAGAGACAAAAACAGAUAAGAAUACCUCGUCACUUAGUAUUGUAACCCCCGAAGAUAUUAAUCCAUUUUUAAACGAUAUAAGCAUACCUGAGGACGAUACAGACUAUAAUGAAAAUGGCGAUUUUGAAUUGGCCCUAAAGAAUACGUAUGUACAUUCGUUGGCAAAUACUUAUUUGACUUUACAAGCCAAGCAUUUUUUAACAGAUAGUGCAUUGCAAACAUUAAUUGAUGGGAUAUCGGAUAUUUACGACAUUAGCCAAAAAAAUGUAUGCAGCUUCCUUAAAGCUAAAAAAAUAUCUCCGGAUGUUAUUAAGGUCGUAAAAAACCAAAAUUUAUUUGAUCACGCACACAAUUCUGCAAAUGGUGUAUUAAGGUCUCCUUACAUAAGAAAAAAAUUUUACAAAAAGGAGUUUAAUUACGUAGAACCUGUUGAAGUAUUACUAGAGAAGAGUGGCAAAAAAAAGGUGUUUUUUAUGUAUAUCCCAAUAUUAGAAACCAUAAAAGUCUUAAUGGCAAACACUAAUUUUUAUGAUCAAUGGAAAACCAUAAGAACUUGUCAGAAAAACGUAUAUACGGACUUUUUUGAUGGCGAAUGUUACCGCAAUAGUACAUUUUUUAAGGAUAAUCCGUCAGCUUUUCAGAUCAUACUUUAUCAAGACGCAUUUGAGAUAUGUAAUCCAUUGGGUUCGUCCAGGAAAAUUCACAAGAUUGUUGGAAUAUACAUGACGAUUGCAAAUGUACCUUCCUACAACAGAAGCAAAACUGACCAUAUUCAGUUAGUUGCGCUGUGUUACGAAAGUUCAAUUAAAAAGUUUGGUUUUGAUAAAGUUAUGGAUAUUAUUAUUCGAGAUAUUAACAUUUUGGAAUUAGAAGGAAUUUUAAUAAAAGAUGAGAUCAUAAAGGGUACAGUGGUUGCAGUUUGCGGUGACAACUUAGGAAGUCAUCAAAUUGGUGGUUUCGUGGAAAAUUUUAGUACGAGUAGUCAUAUGUGCCGAUACUGCGAAAUUAGUAAAAAACUAAUGUCGGUUCAAAAUAGUUACACCGACCCCAUUUCAUUAAGAACUCAACACUCAUAUGAAAUAGAUGUGGCUAUUGCAGCGACAUCAGGCGAGCCGUCAAAAGGUGUUAAAUUCGAUUCUGUUUUAAAUAAGUGUAUGUUUUUCCAUGUUUGUAACCCCGGUUUGCCUCCAUGUUUGGCUCAUGAUGUUUAUGAAGGAGUGUUGCAAUGUGACUUUAUGCUUUGCUUGAAUAAUCUUAUUGCAAAAAAGUAUUUUACCUACGAUUAUUUUAACGACAAAAUACAAAAAAUAAGGUUUAUCUCUGAAUCAAAGUAUGAAAAUAUACCUACAAUUAAAAAGUCUGAAAAAUUACCCGGUAAUGCAUCAGAAAAUUGUAGGAUACUUCAAAUAUUUCCCUUUGCUUUACAUGAACUCUCUUUCGAGGACGAACCCGCGUGGGAAAUGUUGUUAAAAUUGCGCGAAAUUAAUUUACUAUUAAUGGCGCCAAAACUGUCGGUGAUUCAUAUAGCACAUUUGCGCUUAAUGAUUUACGAUUAUAUAGAAUUGAGAACCACACUGUUUUCAAAUACACCUUUAAGACCAAAACAUCAUUACUUAAAACACUACCCGUUUCUAAUAAAAAAAUUUGGGCCAUUGAAACAUUUGUGGACUCUCAGAUUUGAAAGCAAACACCUUUAUUUUAAAAAUGUCUUGAAGCAUUCUCCAAAUUUCAAAAAUGUGCUUCAUACUCUAUCCGAAAGGCAUCAAUUAUUGCAAAGUCAAAUUAUGACGCACGGAUAUGGAACCGUUUUUACUAACAAAGCGACUUCUGACGAUGCUGUUCCAUAUGUCUCUGAAGAUUUUGAGCUUGUGGUAGCAGCAUGCAUAUCUAAUUCAUCACCAUUACCACUAAACCAAAAACUUUUAGUAUCGCAAAGAGUGACAUUUCGAGGUAUAACUUUUAGCAAAAAUAUGUAUGUAUGUAUAGCUAAAACAGAAGACGAUGACUUUGUAUUAUGUCGUAUUAAACAUAUAAUAGUCAAUGAGUUCUAUACUAACUUACUGUUUGUUGGAAAUGAAGUUAAAAUCACUCGGAACAAGGCUUUAGGUCUGUUCGAAGAAACUGAAAAAGUAAAUAAUAAUGUUAUUACUGGGUGUAAUUUUGGUGACCUGUUAUCACAUGAACCGUUAUUUGUGUAUUUAAGUUCCAGUAAUAAGUUAUUAUUUUCGUUUAAAUCGGCACCAUUCGAAUAUUCAGAUUAAUUUUUUUCAUGCUUACGGUAGUAUCUCUCAUGAUCCAAUUUUUUUGUCUUAUAUACACUUUGUAUUUUUGUCAAAUUUCUUUGUUUUGUAUUUUGAAUGAAAUGUCAUUGGAAUUGUUUAUUUUAUAUUAUUUUAUUAUUUUAUUUUACUGCAUAUGUUGACAUAACAUAAAUUUAAUUUUAGUUAAGUUUAAAACUAAUUAUAUGGAAAAUUUGGUAAAAAGCGUAAUGUCAAAAGUGUGGGUGGGUGGACUUUGCCACCUCAGUGCAUUAUGCAUUUUACAAAGAUGCAAUUGUGAUUAUAAUCUUAUAAUCUCACCUGUAAGAGAUGUUUGUUUUUUACUUUUGUUCGCAGUCAAUCUUCUGUAAAAAUGGCGUAUAUAUUCAAAACGUGGAAUGUAAGGCGUACAGCAAAAAAAGUCGUUUUCCUGAACGAAUCUACAUCAGAAUUGUGCAAAACACUCAUUGUUGAAGCUUCCAAAAAACUUAAUAUUAACGGAGUACGCUUAGUUUUGGAAUCUGAUGGGACCGAAAUAGAUGACGACGAAGUUGUAAAAAUACUUCAUAAGGAAAUUUUUCUUGUGCUAGAGGAAACUGAAGAAUGGAGUAGAGCAGCGGAUGACACGCAUCUGAGUAUGCAUUCGCAUGAUUCCGCUUCAUCUGCAUUAACUGUGGAAAACCUAUCUGAAUUUGAUACUGACAGUGGUAGCACAAGGGCAUCCACGCCAAGCUCUUGUAGUAGUCGUACAAUAAGUGAAAAUACGUGGCUGUCAUUCAAAAUUCCAUACGAAAAGAUGAGUUCUACAGCAAUGAAGAAUUUUGAAAAUGGUGUACGUUGUCGUCAGUCAAUAAAAGACAUGAUACAUUUGGUUACUGACGAAAUGCUCGAAGUGGCCGAAGGCUUUGUUCCCAACACAGCAUGCAAAAUUAUUGCAAGAAAACUCGUAGAUAAAUUCCCUAAAAUUUUUCAAGAUAGAGACGACGAUGGCACUGUGAUCGGAGACGGCGCAAUUACAACAUACAAUCAGGUGAAAGAAAGAAUUAAGUACGUAACAGCUUCAAGAAAACGACUACAGCGACCGAAAAAUAACCCAAUUCCCGUCAACAAAAGAAGAAAAAUGAUGAACUUGAAAUCUGGAUGUGUAAGUUGGCAACCAGAAAUACAAAAUAAUUUGACCAACGAUGACAUGGAAAAUUACCUUAGAACAGCCGAUUUUGAAACUUUUGACGAGAUAACACAAGACAUGAUGAACAAAUCGUAUCCUAAGCAACGUUUAUUUUUAAAUAGUUUACCACCACCAUCACUGCAGAGUAUUAAAGAAACAUGGCCGAUCUUAUUAUGCAAAAAUGGAAUAUAUUUUCAUUACCAAAAACUAAUGGGCCAUAGCAUUAAUAAUUUAACAGACACUUUAAUUGCAAAAUCUAACAAGUUUUUUACUUUUGGACUGAAUAAGAAAUGGAUUAAGGAAAUUCCCGUUGAUAGGGAAGAGGAUGAAGUAAUUGUGACCGUCUUGCAGAUUAUCGUGAAAUACUUUCAGGAAACUUUAACAGUUUUAUACUGCAAUAUUCGUGACGAAUCUGAUAUUGAGUCUACGACGACAAACGCUCCUGCUAUUGCAUGUUUACAGAGUGCUGUAGAUGAUGACCAAAAAACAUAUCUGGUCGUAAUGGAAGGUCAGAAAGUUAACUCUAAUUGCAAUUUAAGGAGUGCGCUGCAGCAAAUGUUUGCGUUAUAUUACAUUUUUAACCUGGAGUAUCCCAAACAAAUUGCGAAUACAAUGGAAUUGAUACAGAGUUACUUUCUAAAAAUUCACCCACAGCAAGGCACACGCAAUAGAAAAUCGUGUGCGAAAGCAAAGAUAGCCACUUUUUUAAACAAACUGCGAGAUGAAUAGGCAACGAGAUUAUAGAUUAUACGUUCAGGAAGAUGAAGUUUUGUUUCAUUUAGUGUAUAUAGGUAUAUAUUUUUAAGUUAUAAGUUAGGUACUGUUUUUUAUUUGUAUUAUUUUUGAUUUUAUUAUAUAUACAUAGUACGUG